GCGUCGCAGCUCACCUGGUUGGUGGGACCUGUCUUAUGAGCAGGCCGCGGCGAGUUCGAUCCUCGCGCGACGCAC
rnacentral:tRNA from 1 species